rnacentral:misc_RNA from 1 species
CAGGAGUUUCAGGGGGAGGGGGGGGACUAUUACAACGUUUGUACCUAGCUAUUAGCUAAUCGAUCAAAGGCAAAUCGCAGAUGAAAUGUGUGUAUGAAAAUCGGCUGUUUUUUUUUCUUCUUCUUGUUCUAUUCUUACAAAACCAGCCUAGAGUCCUAGUCUCCUAGACUCAAAGGUGGUCGGCCAAUGCAACGCUAGGGAGAGCGAGCAUCGCAGGCGAGUUCGUUGUUGCAGAACUAUUGGACACGCAGAUGGAAUCCUCAUCAUCGCCAACUGAUCCAUCCAUGCGGAGUAAUUAACUAAGAAGAUGAGAGUUUACCUGGAUCUCGGUGACGUCGGCGGCGCACACCCGGCCGUUGUAGAAGAUGGUCAUGUUCCUCCUCGCCUCCGCCGGCGGCGGCAGCGGCGGCGGAGGAAGAGCAGCCGCAGUCGCGGCACCGUCGUCCGCCCCCGUCCUGAGGCGCAGGCUGAGCUCAACGCCUCCUCCGCCGCCGCCGCCGUUGCUCAAACCACUACUCUCCUCGUCGUCGCCACCGCCACCGCGCCACCGCCGCUCCUGCGCCGCCGCUCCGGCGACGCCACCGUCGUCGACGUCCCUUCGGCCGUCCAUAGACCGGCCACUAGCAGCUCUCUAGAUGCAGCCAACAGACACAACACAGGGCAGGCAGCCUUCAGCUCGUCUGUCGUCUCCUUCCUCUGCU